UAUAAUUUUUCUCCACACCAGGAAAAUACGUUCUGCUCCAUUGCAUUACUGCACAGACAACAUGAGUGACGCUGACAACAAGGUGAGUUCAUUUUCUUACAGUGCUUUAGUCCUGUGACUAACAGCUUGAAAACAUGUGUACUUAUGAAGUGUUUCCCUCAUCUAGCCCGAGGUGGAAGAGGAAGAAGAGGAAGGAUGCAAAGGAGGUGAAAGGGGGAAAAGCGGAGAACGCGGAAAAGGUCAUGGAAAAGGAGAAGAACAUGGAAAAGGUCAUGGAAAAGGACAAGAACAUGGAAAAGGAAAAGAACAUGGAAAAGGUCAUGGAAAAGGACAAGAACAUGGAAAAGGACAAGAACAUGGACAUAAAAAAUGAGUUGAAGAUAGAAAAGAAUAUGGCAAGAAAUAGGAGCGUGGUGAAUGCCUUGAUAAAUGACAAAGAAUUCCUAAAACUUCCAUUCUGUGAUUAUGCUUGUAAGGAAUGAAAUACAUAUUCAAUAAAUCAUUUCAGAAAAAUGCAGAA